GAUGAACGCUGGCGGCGUGCCUAAUACAUGCAAGUCGAGCGAACAGACGAGGAGCUUGCUCCUCUGACGUUAGCGGCGGACGGGUGAGUAACACGUGGAUAACCUACCUAUAAGACUGGGAUAACUUCGGGAAACCGGAGCUAAUACCGGAUAAUAUAUUGAACCGCAUGGUUCAAUAGUGAAAGACGGUUUUGCUGUCACUUAUAGAUGGAUCCGCGCCGCAUUAGCUAGUUGGUAAGGUAACGGCUUACCAAGGCGACGAUGCGUAGCCGACCUGAGAGGGAGAUCGGCCACACGGGAACUGAGACACGGCCCAGACUCCUACGGGAGGCAGCAGUAGGGAAUCUUCCGCAAAGGGCGAAAGCGUGACGGAGCAACGCCGCGUGAGGGAUGAAGGUCUUCGGAUCGGAAAGCGCUGUUAGUAGGGAAGAACAAAUGUGUAAGUAACUAUGCACGUCUUGACGGUACCUAAUCAGAAAGCCACGGCUAACUACGUG
rnacentral:rRNA from 1 species